rnacentral:rRNA from 1 species
CACGUAGUUAGCCGUGGCUUAUUCAAGGGGUACCGUCUUCCGCUCUUCCCCCUUAAAAGAAGUUUACAACCCGAAAGCCUUCUUCCUUCACGCGGCGUUGCUGGGUCAGACUUGCGUCCAUUGCCCAAUAUUCCCCACUGCUGCCUCCCGUAGGAGUCUGGGCCGUAUCUCAGUCCCAAUGUGGCCGGCCGACCUCUCAGUCCGGCUACUGAUCGUCGCCUUGGUGGGCCGUUACCUCACCAACUAGCUAAUCAGACGCGAGGCCAUCUUCCAGCGAUAAAUCUUUGACGUCAGAGUCAUGCGGCUCCAACGCAUCAUGCGGUAUUAGCAGUCGUUUCCAACUGUUGUCCCCCUCUGGAAGGCAGGUUCCUCACGCGUUACUCACCAGUCCGCCACUAAAGCAUUCCCAUCCGUGUCCGAAAAACUCCUUCAGGGGGUGCUCCGUUCGACUUGCAUGUGUUAAGCAACGCCGCCAGCGUUCGUCCUGUACGCCGACGGACGUACAAACUACGUCUGUACGACUACG